rnacentral:lncRNA from 1 species
AUGAAAAGGACCCCUUGGUGUCUUCCUCCAUCACUGGCCCUGACCGGGAACCUCCAGGUCUGGAAACAAGGCCUGUUUGCUAGGAGCUGUUCAAAGGCUCUGUCCUGCCAUUCCCGUCUACGUGAGUUGAGGUCAAGGCUGACCCCAUGUGAAGCCCGCUCUGUGAAGAUGCCCAGUGUUAAGCCGGAGAGGAUAUUGGAACUGGAACCGUGGAUCUGGGAACUGACCCUCAGCUUUAUCAGGUUCCCCUGACGGCUGAUCACCUUGAUUGAGUCAAAUGCCACCUAAAACCCCAAAUCUCUAAAUUAUGGGGAAGACCUGGCCAAGGAAAGCAAAACCCGGACAAUUCAAGGGACUCCCUUUUCCAGCGUCUCAGACAGCAAGGUGAGCAUUGGUUUCUAGUGGGUAGACCUGACAGGUCUCCUCCAGCCUCUGCCCAGGUAUCAGGAUGCGGGAGCACUUCCAGGGGAGUCAGAGCAGGCCCCCACCUGCAUCACUGCCAUCCCCUCUGCCCCCAAAGAAAAUGGACGGGUGGACUAGUGCUUCGGCCCUGCUCAGAUCCCAAUGGUGAGUCCCCAUCCAGGGGUUCCGCCCAACUUUAUGAAAUCAAAUGGGAACAUUUUGUUUCCUGCUGGUAAUUUCCGCCUAAGGCGUGUCCGCAGGUGACCUCAAGGCCUGCUUUGAAAUCAAUCUCCAAAGCACAAAAGGAUUCUUUUUGCACUUUUUUUCUUCAGGGGACUUCCAAAUCAAGGAUUUGAUAAGCACAGUUGAUGAUUAAACAGAACGAGCUGGCCACCGGGAGAGCUCUGACUUGCUCCGACAAAGGCCCUUUGAGCUUGGUGGAAAACCAGAAUCUCUUUUUCUGUUGUUGUUUGUCUCAGCCUUUUCUGUGGGGGACCUGGAUUCAAGUCUUGAAAGCACUGAGGUUUGCGGGAAGGUUCUGUCAGUUGGGGCAUCUGUCCUUGGUGUUAAUUGCCGAGGGGUCUAAAUGAAACGGUCACCCGACCAGCCAAGGACACUUUUGGAAAUGAUUUGGCUAUGAUGUAUCUUUCAAUAUUUUAAUUUCUUAUUUUUAAAAUUGGAAGAGAUUAAAAGAAAUGGGAGGGGAUCCGGGAGGAGGAGUAUGGGAGAGAGGCAGCUUGACUGGGUAAGCCCCGAACAGCCAGUUUUGCCUUCAUGUUCCGUUGGGCUGUGGGUCCUGGGCAAGACGGGCACAUUCACACACUUAUCAAACAGCCAGCGUUGACUCUAC